UUCCGGUUGACCCUGCCGGAGGUCACUGCUCUCGGGGUUCGAUUAAGCCAUGCGAGUCGAGAGGGUUCAGACCCUCGGCGGACUGCUCAGUAACACGUGGAUAAUCUGCCCUAUGGUGGAGGAUAACCCCGGGAAACUGGGGAUAAUACUCCAUAAGUCAGGAGUACCGGAAUGUCUCCUAACUGAAAGUUGCGGCGCCAUAGGAUGAAUCUGCGGCCGAUUAGGUAGUUGUUGGGGUAACGGCCCAACAAGCCCGUAAUCGGUACGGGUUGUGGGAGCAAGAGCCCGGAGAUGGAAUCUGAGACACGAUUCCAGGCCCUACGGGGCGCAGCAGGCGCGAAAACUUUACAAUGCAGGAAACUGUGAUAAGGGAACCCCGAGUGCCCGUACACGCGGGCUGUCCCGGUGUUUAAAACACAUCGGAAGAAAGGGCCGGGCAAGACCGGUGCCAGCCGCCGCGGUAAUACCGGCGGCUCGAGUGGUGACCACUUUUAUUGGGCUUAAAGCGUUCGUAGCUUGAUUUCUAAGUCUCUUGGGAAAUCUCACGGCUUAACUGUGAGGCGUCUAAGAGAUACUGGGAAUCUAGGGACCGGGAGAGGUAAGAGGUACUUCAGGGGUAGAAGUGAAAUUCUGUAAUCCUUGAGGGACCACCGAUGGCGAAGGCAUCUUACCAGAACGGCUUCGACAGUGAGGAACGAAAGCUGGGGGAGCGAACGGGAUUAGAUACCCCGGUAGUCCCAGCCGUAAACUAUGCGCGUUAGGUGUGCCUGUAACUACGAGUUACCGGGGUGCCGAAGUGAAAACGUGAAACGUGCCGCCUGGGAAGUACGGUCGCAAGGCUGAAACUUAAAGGAAUUGGCGGGGGAGCACCACAACGGGUGGAGCCUGCGGUUUAAUUGGACUCAACGCCGGGCAGCUCACCGGAUAGGACAGCGGAAUGAUAGCCGGGCUGAAGACCUUGCUUGACCAGCUGAGAGGAGGUGCAUGGCCGUCGUCAGUUCGUACUGUGAAGCAUCCUGUUUAGUCAGGCAACGAGCGAGACCCCC
rnacentral:rRNA from 1 species